GGGAUGUGUGUGUGUGUGUGUGUGUGUGUGUGUGUGUGUGUGUGUGUGUGUGUUGGGGUGGGUGGUGUUAGCAAACAACCCCUCUGGCC
rnacentral:miRNA from 1 species